rnacentral:rRNA from 1 species
UACCAGCACCCCGAGUGGUCGGGACGAUUAUUGGGCCUAAAGCAUCCGUAGCCGGUCCUGCAAGUCUUCCGUUAAAUCCAGCUGCUCAACAGAUGGGCUGCGGGGGAUACUAUAGAGCUAGGAGGCGGGAGGAGGCAAGCGGUACUUAGUGGGUAGGGGUAAAAUCCGUUGAUCCAUUGAAGACCACCAGUGGCGAAGGCGGCUUGCCAGAACGCCACUCGACGGUGAGGGA